GACGAACGCUGGCGGCGUGCCUAAUACAUGCAAGUAGAACGCACAGUUUAUACCGUAGCUUGCUACACCAUAGACUGUGAGUUGCGAACGGGUGAGUAACGCGUAGGUAACCUGCCUGGUAGCGGGGGAUAACUAUUGGAAACGAUAGCUAAUACCGCAUAAUAUUGAUUAUUGCAUGAUAAUUGAUUGAAGGAUGCUAUUGCAUCACUACCAGAUGGACCUGCGUUGUAUUAGCUAGUAGGUGAGGUAACGGCUCACCUAGGCGACGAUACAUAGCCGACCUGAGAGGGUGAUCGGCCACACUGGGACUGAGACACGGCCCAGACUCCUACGGGAGGCAGCAGUAGGGAAUCUUCGGCAAUGGACGAAAGUCUGACCGAGCAACGCCGCGUGAGUGAAGAAGGUUUUCGGAUCGUAAAGCUCUGUUGUAAGAGAAGAACGGGUGUGAGAGUGGAAAGUUCACACUGUGACGGUAUCUUACCAGAAAGGGACGGCUAACUACGUG
rnacentral:rRNA from 1 species